AAAACAAAAAAAAAAAGCUGAUCUUGGGGUGAGGGUUCGGAUCCCGUGUUGGGCUCUGUGCUGACGGUGUGGAGCCUGUCUCCAUGUCUCUCUGCCCCUCCCCUGCUUGCUCUCUCUCUCUCAAAAAUAAACAUUAAAAAAAAAAAAAGCUGAUCUUGAGGAUUCUGGGAUCUGGGAGAAAGCUUUUUAGUCAUUUUUUAAGCAUCCUUUUAAAUAAAGUCACCCUGCCCACAUCCAGAUUAAGGUACUCUAUAUUUUUUAUUUUUAUUGUUUUUAAAGUUUAUUUACUGAGAGAGGGAGAGAGAGAAUCCCAAGCAGGCUCUGCACUGUCAGCACAGAGCCUGAUGUGGGGCCUGAUCCCCACGAACUGUGAGAUCAUGACCUGAGCCGAAAUCAAGAGUUAGACGCUAAACUGGCAGAGCCACCCAGGCACCUUGGUACUCAAUAUUUUAGAGAGUAUGGUUUUUAUCAUUUCCCACCAUGUCUGCCUAUCCACGUACAUCAAGGCUCAGCUCAAAUGCUCUCUCCUCAGGAGACCCUUCCCCUCCCAUGUCUAUUCUUUAACCCUUAUUACAUUCUGUGUUUAGGUAAAUGUUAAUCCUCCACUGAGAACAGGGGCUGCGUCUCAAUCACCUUUCUCCUCCCAGUGGUGCCGAGCCAGUGCCCCGAGCACAAAGAGGCACCCGCUGCUCUCCGUGGAAUCGCCUGCCUUUAGUCAGCCCAUCCGUGGCUUCAAAAAUCAAAGAACUAGGGACUUUACAAUUAUGCAACCCUAGAAGUGCUUUACAAGGAUGAUUUCUAACAUUAUUUAUGUUUCAAAUUUUAUAAUUAGCAGUUGCAGAUCUGCCAGUGCAGAGUCCUGUGAUCACAGAACUAAAUUAUCUCCACUUUUCACUUUGAAACUAAAGUACAGUAAGACACCCAUUGCAGCUUGGUGUUUUGCAUUUUGCCUCUUUCCCAUCUGGCCCCUGCCCACACUAGAUGCUGUAGCUCCUGACUCAUCUUUUUAUUUGUAUGGUACAGAAAUCUGCUUUUCCUAAAACGAUGCCACAUGGACAGUUCCCAAGUAGUUUUCAGAGCUGUCUAUGUGGACUGAUUUUGCAUCAAUCAGAGAAGGAAAUCGUGUGUUUCUGCGGGAAUAUUCUGUUCAUUAGGGCUGGAGAGCCUGCCUCUGGUGUCACAAAGGGUGACCCUUUUAACAGGGUUUGUAUUUUCUCACUCAGUUUCAGUAAUAUACGAGUAAGUACAUAAUGGUAUUGAAGAGACCCUGGCAGUCAGAACUCCUAGCUGAAGAAAUGCUGGUCUAGGAAAGGUAGCCCAGGCAUUGGUUUUUUUUUCCCCCACUGCGGAAAAGAAACCACCACAUUCAGUAGAGUUUGGAAGGUGGUUGGUGAGCAGUAGGAAAGCCAAGUUCAAAACCAGGUUAAAAAACAGCCCCUUUCUCUUCUAGGCUUCAUUUUCCACAUCUUUAAAACUGUACUGAAGUUAGAUUAUUACAGGGUUCUUCCUUGAACGUUUUAUUUUUCCUUCUAACAGAAAUGCUAAUAUGCUGUCCACAUAACUACGAAAAUGUUCUUAAUGUCCGUCAUUAUUGACACGUAAAGGGGAUUUGUUCUGGGGGGUUGACCUUAUGCAGCUCUAGGAAGUGGCAGAGCAGUCUCUGUGAGGCACAUUGUCUGUCUCGUGUGGGAACUGGAAGCCCAGAGGACGGGCAGGGAGACCUCGAACAGAGAUGCUGAACAUCCAGGGGCAGCUGGGACAGUUGCAGCCCAGAUGCGGAUUCACACCAGGAGGUGGGCUUCUGGCUAAGCAACGUGGUGAGCUACUAAAUGGCUACCGCCUCAUCCGGGCCCCCCAGAUCUUGCACAAGAAUUUGUGGCUCACCCUGACUGGGAACGGAAUUCUGGGAAAUGUGGUUCAGGUUAGCCAAGUCGGUACCUUACAAAGCGCCACAGUGGCUGUGCCAGGAUGGCGCGACUCCAGAUGAGCUUGCCUUUUUAUUUUUACAUGUUUUAAUUCUUCACAACGAACGUGUAUUAUUCAUAUAAUCUGAAAAAACAUAAAGCUGUUCUCUUUGAGGCGGGGGAAUAAUCUUCCUUCGCUAAAAGGAACAAUAAGAAUCGGAGGUUCACUGUUGAGAGAGAAGGUGCCAUCUAUUACACAGGUGAACGUCAACAGCUCUUACCUGAAAGAAGGAUUUACAAGAUGCCCGUGUUUCAGUUCCUCUUUUGCCACAACUGUUGACACUGGCUUUAAGCCCUAAAAAUCCAGGUGAAGAAUGAAGUACUAAGGAAGACCAGCUUCUCAAUCACUGAGUGUCUUCAGUGCAGAAAAGUGCCCUGCGAACACACCAUCUUUCCCGUAGAUGAUGUAACUGAUGGAAACGUCGGAGCCUGGCCCUCCAGGAGUCUCUCCCUUCGGACGGCGAGAUCCUUUUGCGUAGAGCACAGAAGCUUCUGCUGUGGUGCAGACCUUAAACACACUGAGGUUAAGGAGAAACUAAUAAACACAUUUUAACGCU